GGGGCCCGGGGGCCCGGGCGGCCUCAGGCGACCUCGGGGGCCGCCGUGGCGGGUCCGCCGAGCGCGUCGCGCCGUUCGGGCGUCCGCAGGGUCACC
rnacentral:tRNA from 1 species